AAAUAUUCUAUUUAUUUAUUCAUGAGAGAUACAGAGAGAGACAGGCAGAGAUACAGGCAGAGGGGAAAGGGAGCCUGAUGUGGGCCUUGAUCUCGGACCCCAGGAAAUCACACUCGGAGCCAAAGGCAGACGCUCAACCGCUGAGCCACCUAGGCAUCCCUCACCAUCCCAUUUUGUACUUUCUUUUUCAUGCCUGUUUUUUUUUUUUCCCUUCUUUUGGAUUGCUGUCAUGUGUACAUGCAAAGUGAAGCACAGGAAAUGUAUGCAUAUUAAGUAUAAACUGGAAACUAAUUUUUAAUUCCUGCUGCCAAUCCAGUAAAAGAGGUGAAGACGAGAAUUGAGGUUCCCAAACUUGGACUUUGCAGAUGAAUAAGAUUUCCCUUACAAUGUCAGUGACUAAUAUAGAGUUGCCAACUUUUUAUUUUGCCAAGUCAGGAAAUUUAUGGAACAACCACAGCCCCAACUCUCGCCUAUCCUCACCAUAAUUUUAUAAAGAACAUUAAAAAACAAACUUUUAAAGUGUAAAAGAAAGGUGCUCUCCAGGUAGAGAUCAUUGGGCAAGCUUGUGAGAUACACACACACACAUAAUCUGUGCGCACACACCUCUAUCUACCGUGUGUCCUCUCAGUUCACCCAACAUCACUGGAAACUUUGACCUGCCCCUAAACUGGAACCCACGGGGUGGAGCGCGGUGGUGUAGAAGGAAGAGGAGGUUCUGGGUGGAGGCUGAGGAGGGUGCCACGCCCGGCCACACACUGUGGGUGCCUCGCCGCAGAGGGCCGUGGUGCAGGGGAUGGGUGUGCCUGCGGCGGAGGCGGGGGGCUCGGGGGCCGCAGUGAGCCCAGAGGAGCUUCCCCCCAGGCAGGAGAGGAGGCCGGCCGGGCCCUGAGCCCCUGACCGGGAUCCCUGGGCUGCCGGCUCUGGAUGCGAGGUCUCCGCGCCCAGAGGAUCCGGAUACUGCAGUGUGAACGUCUCUAAGUCUCGGGCGUUUAUAGACUCUGCGUCCUGGCCGCGGGCCUAAUACACGUUCCCAACAGCUGGGCUUGGAGAUUAGUCUUGGUCCGUGAGGUUCCAUUGCUUCAGCUGACCCCUGAUCGUCUAGAUCAGAAAAAAAAAAAAAAAAAAAAAAA
rnacentral:lncRNA from 1 species